AGGGCAGAUUUUGCUAAAGCACCUGUCUCUUUUUUAUCUUCUCUACCAAUAUGAAAAAAACGCGAUUGAAACAAAAUCAGAAGAGAGAUCAUGAAUAUCUUCAAUGAUCCCCACCAGUUCCUUCCCCUGAUUCUUGUUGUUGAUUGCUCUAAUGAGCGAUCGAUUAUCGGAGCACAUCCAGAGAUUUGAGAUUCCUUGACUAACCGCCUUGAAGAGACCUUCCCUUACGGCCAGAGCUUCGGCGACCAGUGGAGAGAUGACAAAGUGCUGAGUCGUCUACCCCUGAUUCACUGCCGAUUCUUGUCUCCCUCUUAACACCCAUGCAAGGCCUGCUCUGAUUCGUGCUGCGUCCCAUGCCGCAUCUGAUUUACAGACAAUGAUCUCGAGAUCUGGCGGGGGACUUAAACUUUUGUCUUCAAAGACCAGGAGGUUACGGUCCUUCCAGAUCGACCAAACUACCCACGGGAAAAUCGAUUUUGAGACUCCUAUUGGUGGUAGACAAACCGCUGAGCGAAGUCAAGUUGUCAUCGUUUUGAAAGUAUCAGUGACAGCUAGGUGAACUGUAUCUUUUAUGGGAAUGCAGUCCCAAACUUCUUUGCAAACGGACAGAUUCUCCCCCAGAGGCAGUGCAUUCUGAAUCACAGACCAGAUAAAGACUUUCAUCUUUGGGGAGCACGAUGUCUUCCAAACAUCCCUGAUCCAAUCAAAUUCCUCAACAGGAUCCUGAAGGGAGUGGCUGCCACACAUAUAUAUCUUCUACUCCUCGCAGACUUGGUUGCAAGCAUUGGAUUUGAUCAGCAAAAUCAGGUUGGAAUUGCAGAUAGCACCGCUUUGAGCAUCGUCAGUUUCCCGGCUUUUGACAGGCAUUUGGUAGACCAGCUUACGGCUCGUUGCCGUAUCUUGUCUACAAUGGAUGUGAACAGAUCACGCUUACGGCGUUUAAAACGUUAUAGGGUUCCAAGCUUCAUACUGUGUUAGAAGCUGUAGUAGCUUCCUGCUGGACUCAGGUGAUGCAGAGCAGAAGAACAUUGUAUCAUCGGCAAAAAUGUAUGCAUUACUAUUAUAAUUCGGAUGAUCUAUGCAUUAUCUGUUUGUAAUACAUGUAUUACUGUAGCAAUUGUAAUAACACAAUACCAAAUUAAAAAUAAAUCUAUUUAAUAUCAUUCAAAUUAAG